AAUUGCCUUUUAACACGACCACCUGAAAAAUUAUGUUACAAUCGAUUACAGUUCUUUCUCACAGUGUAUGAUACCGAUCUUGUACGACAACGUUCAGUUUUGAUGAUAAAGAACUAAAGAGAAAUAAAAAAUCUAUAUUUCAAAAUGGAUAGUUCAAUUCAGAAGAGCAUUAGUUUGGAAACAUAACAAGCUAAACAUAUUGAU
rnacentral:lncRNA from 1 species